AUGAGCAGGAUGCGGGAAACGGGGGCGCAGCCGGGACUCGGAGCUGGGCACCUCGACUGCCAGGCUCGGCAGCCGCCCGCUCCGUCUCUGAGGCAGCUCGGGAGCCUCCACCUCCCCAAAUCCCAGCAGACGUCUGCUCCAGCUCCCCCCAGCUUCCCACGGGCUCAGGCCCUCCGUCCUCGGGCCUCGGGUGGCUCCCCGAUGCCCGGACACCGUGCAGGAGGACUGCGAGGCAGGAGGGCUGAGGCUGCCCGGCGGGUGGCCAGGGCUUGGGCCCCAACACGCCAUGGCACCGCAGGCACUGACCUGGCCUCACGCCACGAUGCCGCCAUGCUGCAGGGGCGACACGGAGGCCAGAGGGGGGCGCCCCCACCCUGCAUCUGGCCCUGCACGGCACAAAGGUGGCCACAUGCAGGUGGGAUGACACAGCCUGCCUCCUGGUACCAGCUGGGACACACAGAAGAGCCUCCGCCAUCGCGCCCUGGCCUCCACAGGCAGCCUGCUGGGUCUACAGGCUGGCUUGGAACCGCCCCAGCCUGGCCAAGGAGCACACGGUCCUGCAGGCGCUGCCCCAGGCUGGCCCUGCCAUCGGGACCCUCGUGUGACCUGCCCGUGACACCCUCAGGCCUCCCGCCCCCAGGGCCCCGCUGCCCACCCACGCCCACAGCACGUGGCGCUCCUCAGGACCAUGAGCCUCAGACCCGCCCCGGAGCCCGCAGCCAGCCCCGCGGGCCCUCCUGCCGGCCCGGGCCUCUGUGGGGUGACAGGUUCCCCCGUGACGGCCGAGAGCCUCCUCUCCCUAGCUCAGACACAAACAGGGACCCAGCCCGCAGGCCAGGCGCCAGCUCCAAGACAGAACCGGAUCAGGGGUCGGGGACGCAGGCGAGCGGGAGGCAGGCCGGGGUGCUGGCUGUCCCCUCCCUCCCGAGCCCCCGUGAGCGGAGCACAUCUCACUGGAGCAGCCUUCUGUGGGCAUCCGACGCCAACCACAGAGGAAAGCACCCGCUCUCCCUGCACGGCGCCCACGCCCGGCCCGGGCCGCUUGGUGCACAGCCCCUCCUGCAAAGGGAAAGAUGA
rnacentral:lncRNA from 1 species